rnacentral:rRNA from 1 species
AUUGAACGCUGGCGGCAGGCCUAACACAUGCAAGUAGAACGAGUGGCGGACGGGUGAGUAAUGUCUGGGAACCUGCCUGAUGGAGGGGGAUAAAUACUGGAAACGGUAGAUAAUAACGCAUACCAUCGGAUGUGCCCAUAUGGGAUUAGCUAGUAGGUGGGGUAACGGCUCACCUAGGCGCCGAUCCCUAGCUGGUCUGCGAGGAUGACCAGCCACACUGGAACUGAUACACGGUCCAGACUCCUACGGGAGGCAGCAGUGGGGAAUAUUGCACAAUGGGCGCAAGCCUGAUGCAGCCAUGCCGCGUGUAUGAAGAAGGCCUUCGGGUUGUAAAGUACUUUCAGCGGGGAGGCGUUACCCGCAGAAGAAGCACCGGCUAACUCCGUGCCAGCCGCCGCGGUAAUAC